rnacentral:rRNA from 1 species
GACGAACGCUGGCGGCGUGCCUAAUACAUGCAAGUCGAACGCAUUGGGGACGGGUGAGUGACACGUGGGUAACCUCCCAUCAGAGGGGAUAACACUUGGCAACAGGUGCUAAACCCAUACUGGUUGAUGUAGCCGCGGUGGAUUAGCUAGUUGGUGAGGUAACGGCCCACCCAGGCGACGAUGCAUAGCCGACCUGAGAGGAGGAUCGGCCACACUGGGACUGAGACACGGCCCAGACUCCUACGGGAGGCAGCAGUGGGGAAUCUUCGGCAAUGGGCGAAAGUCUGACCGAGCAACGCCGCGUGAGUGAAGAAGGUUUUCGGAUCGUAAAGCUCUGUUGUUAGAGAAGCGGUAUCUAACCAGAAAGCCACGGCUAACUACGUGCCAGCAGCCGCGGUAAUAC